rnacentral:rRNA from 1 species
CCUACGGGAGGCAGCAGUGGGGAAUAUUGGACAAUGGGGGGAACCCUGAUCCAGCCAUGCCGCGUGUGUGAAGAAGGCCCUCGGGUUGUAAAGCACUUUCAGUGAGGAAGAACGCCUGGUGGUUAAUACCCAUCAGGAAAGACAUCACUCACAGAAGAAGCACCGGCUAACUCCGUGCCAGCAGCCGCGGUAAUACGGAGGGUGCGAGCGUUAAUCGGAAUUACUGGGCGUAAAGCGCGCGUAGGUGGCUUGAUAAGCCGGUUGUGAAAGCCCCGGGCUCAACCUGGGAACGGCAUCCGGAACUGUCAAGCUAGAGUGCAGGAGAGGAAGGUAGAAUUCCCGGUGUAGCGGUGAAAUGCGUAGAGAUCGGGAGGAAUACCAGUGGCGAAGGCGGCCUUCUGGACUGACCCUGACACUGAGGUGCGAAAGCGUGGGUAGCAAACAGGAUUAGAUACCCUAGUAGUC